rnacentral:rRNA from 1 species
GUCUGAUUAGAUAGUUGGAGAGGUAACGGCUCACCAAGUCAACGAUCAGUAGGGGUUUUGAGAGGAAGGUCCCCCACACCGGAACUGAGACACGGUCCGGACUCCUACGGGAGGCAGCAGUGAGGAAUAUUGGUCAAUGGGCGAGAGCCUGAACCAGCCAAGUCGCGUGAAGGAAGAAGGUCUUAUGGAUUGUAAACUUCUUUUAUAGGGGAAUAAAGAUGAGUACGUGUACUCAGUUGUAGGUACCCUAAGAAUAAGGAUCGGCUAACUCCGUGCCAGCAGCCGCGGUAAUACGGAGGAUCCGAGCGUGUCUGAUUAGAUAGUUGGAGAGGUAACGGCUCACCAAGUCAACGAUCAGUAGGGGUUUUGAGAGGAAGGUCCCCCACACCGGAACUGAGACACGGUCCGGACUCCUACGGGAGGCAGCAGUGAGGAAUAUUGGUCAAUGGGCGAGAGCCUGAACCAGCCAAGUCGCGUGAAGGAAGAAGGUCUUAUGGAUUGUAAACUUCUUUUAUAGGGGAAUAAAGAUGAGUACGUGUACUCAGUUGUAGGUACCCUAAGAAUAAGGAUCGGCUAACUCCGUGCCAGCAGCCGCGGUAAUACGGAGGAUCCGAGCGU